rnacentral:rRNA from 1 species
AGAGUUUGAUCCUGGCUCAGGACGAACGCUGGCGGCGCGCCUAACACAUGCAAGUCGAACGAGAGAUGAGGAGCUUGCUCUUCAAAUCGAGUGGCGAACGGGUGAGUAACGCGUGAGGAACCUGCCUCAAAGAGGGGGACAACAGUUGGAAACGACUGCUAAUACCGCAUAAGCCCACGGCUCGGCAUCGAGCAGAGGGAAAAGGAGCAAUCCGCUUUGAGAUGGCCUCGCGUCCGAUUAGCUAGUUGGUGAGGUAACGGCCCACCAAGGCGACGAUCGGUAGCCGGACUGAGAGGUUGAACGGCCACAUUGGGACUGAGACACGGCCCAGACUCCUACGGGAGGCAGCAGUGGGGAAUAUUGCACAAUGGGGGAAACCCUGAUGCAGCGACGCCGCGUGGAGGAAGAAGGUCUUCGGAUUGUAAACUCCUGUUGUUGAGGAAGAUAAUGACGGUACUCAACAAGGAAGUGACGGCUAACUACGUGCCAGCAGCCGCGGUAAAACGUAGGUCACAAGCGUUGUCCGGAAUUACUGGGUGUAAAGGGAGCGCAGGCGGGAAGACAAGUUGGAAGUGAAAUCUAUGGGCUCAACCCAUAAACUGCUUUCAAAACUGUUUUUCUUGAGUAGUGCAGAGGUAGGCGGAAUUCCCGGUGUAGCGGUGGAAUGCGUAGAUAUCGGGAGGAACACCAGUGGCGAAGGCGGCCUACUGGGCACCAACUGACGCUGAGGCUCGAAAGUGUGGGUAGCAAACAGGAUUAGAUACCCUGGUAGUCCACACCGUAAACGAUGAUUACUAGGUGUUGGAGGAUUGACCCCUUCAGUGCCGCAGUU